GUGCACCAGGCGAGAAUCUUCCACAAUGGGGAAACCCUGAUGGAGCGACGCCGCGUGCGGGAUGAAGGCCCUAUGGGUUGUAAACCGCUGUUCAGUGGAAAGAACAUCCUCCGGCUGAAUAGGUCGGAGGCCUGACGUUACCACUGCAGAAAGUCCCGGCCAACUCCGUGCCAGCAGCCGCGGUAAUACGGGGGGACGGAGCGUUGUUCCGGAACGUCAUUGGGUCGGUAAAGGGACGGCGUAGGC
rnacentral:rRNA from 1 species